rnacentral:rRNA from 1 species
UGGGGAAUUUUGGACAAUGGGGGAAACCCUGAUCCAGCCAUCCCGCGUGUGCGAUGAAGGCCUUCUGGUUGUAAAGCACUUUUUGCAGGAAAGAAACGUCAUGGGUUAAUACCCCGUGAAACUGACGGUACCUGCAGAAUAAGCACCGGCUAACUACGUGCCAGCAGCCGCGGUAAUACGUAGGGUGCAAGCGUUAAUCGGAAUUACUGGGCGUAAAGCGUGCGCAGGCGGUUCGGAAAGAAAGAUGUGAAAUCCCAGAGCUCAACUUUGGAACUGCAUUUUUAACUACCGGGCUAGAGUGUGGCAGAGGGAGGUGGAAUUCCGCGUGUAGCAGUGAAAUGCGUAGAUAUGCGGAGGAAAACCGAUGGCGAAGGCAGCCUCCUGGGAUAACACUGACGCUCAUGAACGAAAGCGUGGGGAGCAAACAGG